GACGAACGCUGGCGGCGUGGAUUAGGUCAUGCAAGUCGAACGGUAUCAUCCUUUCGGGGGUGAGAGAGUGGCGAACUGGUGAGUAACACGUAGGUUAUCUACCCUCAAGACGGGGACAACCCAGGGAAACUUGGGCUAAUACCGGAUGUGAGCAACUUUUAGUUGUUUGAAAGGUGGCGUAAGCUGUCGCUUGGGGAUGAGCCUGCGUCCUAUUAGUUAGUUGGUGAGGUAACGGCUCACCUAGGCAAUGAUAGGUAGGCGGCCUUAACGGGGUGGUUCGCCCACACUGGGAUUGAGAUACGGCCCAGACUCCUACGGGGAGGCAGCAGUCGAGAAUAGUCUACAAUGGUCGGAAGACUGAUAGUGCGACGCCGCGUGAACGAUGAAUCCCUUCGGGGUGUAAAGUUCUUUUAUAUGUGAGCAGUGCUUCUUAUAUUAACAGUAUGGGGAGAGAGAUAUUAGCAUAUGAAUAAGCAACGGCUAACUCCGUGCCAGCAGCCGCGGUAAACU
rnacentral:rRNA from 1 species